rnacentral:tRNA from 1 species
GCCUGAGUGGCUUAGUCAGUUAAGCGUCCGGCUUCAGCUCAGGUCAUGAUCUUAUGGUUCAUGGGUUUGAGCCCCAUCUCGGGCU